rnacentral:rRNA from 1 species
CACCGGCAGCUCGAGUGGUAUCCACGUAUAUUGGGCCUAAAGAGUCCGUAGCUGGCCUGCUAAGUUCUCUGUGAAAUCUUCGGGCUCAACUCGAAGGAGUGCAGAGAAUACUGGCGGGCUUGGGAGCGGGGGAGGCCAAGAGUACUCACGGGGUAGGGGUAAAAUCCGUUAAUCCUGUGAGGACUCCCAGUGGCGAAGGCGCUUGGCCAAAACGCGUCCGACAGUGAGGGACGAAGGCUAGGAGAACGAAUCGG